UGUGUAGGCGGGCCUGCAAGUACUUUGUGAAAUCCCACGGCUUAACCGUGGAACUGCUUGGUAUACUGCUGGUCUUGAGGCAUCUAGAGGCAACUGGAACAAACGGUGGAGCGGUGAAAUGCGUAGAUAUCGUUUGGAACGCCCAAGGUGAAAACAGGUUGCUGGGGAUGUACUGACGCUGAGACACGAAAGCCAGGGGAGCAAACGGGAUUAGAUACCCCGGUAGUCCUGGCCCUAAACGAUGUCCACUAGACGAUAGCGACUCUCACGUUGUUGUCGUCGUAGCAAAAGUGCUAAGUGGACCGCCUGGGAAGUACGGUCGCAAGGCUAAA
rnacentral:rRNA from 1 species